rnacentral:snoRNA from 1 species
UGGACAUUUCUGUUUAUUCAGUUUCUUCUCAAGGUGAAGAUAAUACUUUAUAAUUAUCCUAGGGAAAUAUAAUGGUUUUCUGUUCACCCUUUGUAAGUUAAAAGAGUAUAUCGUUCCACUGCUGACAUUU